GACGAACGCUGGCGGCGUGCUUAACACAUGCAAGUCGAACGAGACGAUUGAAAGCUUGCUUUCGAAAGUCGAGUGGCAAACGGGUGAGUAACGCGUAGACAACCUGCCUUUGAGAUGGGGACAACAGUUCGAAAGGACUGCUAAUACCGAAUGUUGUAUAUUUUCCACAUGGAAGAUAUAUUAAAGAUGGCCUCUAUUUAUAAGCUAUCGCUCAAAGAUGGGUCUGCGUCUGAUUAGCUAGUUGGUGGGGUAACGGCCUACCAAGGCGACGAUCAGUAGCCGGUCGGAGAGGAUGAACGGCCACAUUGGGACUGAGACACGGCCCAGACUCCUACGGGAGGCAGCAGUGGGGAAUCUUCCACAAUGGACGAAAGUCUGAUGGAGCAACGCCGCGUGAGUGAAGAAGGGUUUCGGCUCGUAAAGCUCUGUUGUCGGGGACGAAUGUGCAUUACUUGAAUAAAGUAGUGUAAUGACGGUACCUGACGAGGAAGCCACGGCUAACUACGUGCCAGCAGCCGCAGUAA
rnacentral:rRNA from 1 species